rnacentral:rRNA from 1 species
UGCGAAGGGGGCUAGCGUUGCUCGGAAUCACUGGGCGUAAAGGGUGCGUAGGCGGGUCUUUAAGUCAGGGGUGAAAUCCUGGAGCUCAACUCCAGAACUGCCUUUGAUACUGAAGAUCUUGAGUUCGGGAGAGGUGAGUGGAACUGCGAGUGUAGAGGUGAAAUUCGUAGAUAUUCGCAAGAACACCAGUGGCGAAGGCGGCUCCCUGGCCCGAUACUGACGCUGAGGCACGAAAGCGUGGGGAGCAAACAGG